UUGACCUCGGAUCAGGUAGGGAUACCCGCUGAACUUAAGCAUAUCAAUAAGCGGAGGAAAAGAAACCAACAGGGAUUACCUCAGUAACGGCGAGUGAAGCGGUAACAGCUCAAAUUUGAAAUCUGGGUCUUUUAGGCUCCGAGUUGUAAUUUGUAGAAGAUGCUUCGAGUGUGGCUCCGGUCUAAGUUCCUCGGAACAGGACGUCAUAGAGGGUGAGAAUCCCGUAUGUGAUCGGUUGCCUAUGCUCAUGUGAAGCUCUUUCGACGAGUCGAGUUGUUUGGGAAUGCAGCUCAAAAUGGGUGGUAAAUUUCAUCUAAAGCUAAAUAUUGGCCAGAGACCGAUAGCGCACAAGUAGAGUGAUCGAAAGAUGAAAAGCACUUUGGAAAGAGAGUUAAACAGUACGUGAAAUUGUUGAAAGGGAAGCGCUUGCAACCAGACUUGCGCGUUGUUGAUCAUCCGAGGUUUUCCCCGGUGCACUCGAUUUCGCUCAGGCCAGCAUCGGUUUCAGUGGUUGGAUAAAGGCCUUGGGAAUGUGGCUCCCUUCGGGGAGUGUUAUAGCCCUCGGUGCAAUGCAGCCUACUGGGACCGAGGACCGCGCUCGGCUAGGAUGCUGGCGUA
rnacentral:rRNA from 1 species